GACGAACGCUGGCGGCGUGCUUAACACAUGCAAGUCGAACGGAAAGGCCCUGCUUUUGUGGGGUGCUCGAGUGGCGAACGGGUGAGUAACACGUGAGUAACCUGCCCUAGACUUUGGGAUAACUUCAGGAAACUGGGGCUAAUACCGGAUAGGAGCUCCUGCUGCAUGGUGGGGGUUGGAAAGUUUCGGCGGUUGGGGAUGGACUCGCGGCUUAUCAGCUUGUUGGUGGGGGAGUGGCUUACCAAGGCUUUGACGGGUAGCCGGCCUGAGAGGGUGACCGGCCACAUUGCGACUGAGAUACGGCCCAGACUCCUACGGGAGGCAGCGGUGGGGAAUAUUGCACAAUGGGCGGAAGCCUGAUGCAGCAACGCCGCGUGCGUGAUGACGGCCUUCGGGUUGUAAACCGCUUUCGCCUGUGACGAAGCGUGAGUGACGGUAAUGGGUAAAGAAGCACCGGCUAACUACGUG
rnacentral:rRNA from 1 species